GAAUUCAGAGGUGAUUCACAAAUAAAUUUCACUUGGACUUUAAGGGACAUUCUUCCUUAUGAGACAAUAUUGUCUUAUUAUUCUGACUUUAGUCAUUUAAACAAUAAUGGAAGCUUCUGCCACUUAAAAGAUUACUGAAAGCCGAUAUUUGCACCUAGUGGAUCAGAAAAGGUAAUGUUUUUUUCCAUGGAUAAAAAAAA